rnacentral:rRNA from 1 species
CAGUAGCCACGGGAAUACGGAGGGUGCAAGCGUUAAUCGGAAUUACUGGGCGUAAAGCGCACGCAGGCGGUCUGUCAAGUCAGAUGUGAAAUCCCCGGGCUUAACCUGGGAACUGCAUUUGAAACUGGCAGGCUAGAGUCUUGUAGAGGGGGGUAGAAUUCCAGGUGUAGCGGUGAAAUGCGUAGAGAUCUGGAGGAAUACCGGUGGCGAAGGCGGCCCCCUGGACAAAGACUGACGCUCAGGUGCGAAAGCGUGGGGAGCAAACAGGAUUAGAUACCCGGGUAGUCCCUGUCUCUUAUAC